ACUUUCCUGAAGGAGCUCCUGAAUGCUUUAGGCUUUGAUGUCUGCUUUAGUCUGAUAUUUCCAUUUGAUCUUCCAAAAGGAGCAACCAUCACAGUGCUGAAAUUAUGUUCCACUUGAUGGUUCUUAAUUGUAUUUCUCAGUUUAGGUUUGGACUUGCACUACAGGUGGUUGCGAAUCUCAGGCUUUGCGUGUCUGUCUGUGACAUCCUUGCUGUCGAAGGCGGAUUCACCUUUCCAUGAUAGGGCUGCUCGACGUAUAAAGUAAUUAGUGCCAUCAUCUUUGCCAUCCAUUUAUCUUUAUUAAGGAAUGUGAUGUUACUACUUACUAAUUAUGUAUGUUGUUUAGUAUUUGCAGAAGCAUUCUCAACUUUUCUCUGUACUUUCUCUUUUCUCUACUUUGUUUGGGUAGUAUUUACCCUGUCCUGAGAAUAGCAGAGAUAGACAUGCCUAUGUGUACAGCUAAGUAAUCAAAAUAGUUGAGAUACACACGCCUAUGUCUACAGGAAAACCAGCUUAACAUUCAUAUCUCAACUCCCUAUACACUCUGAUCAGACAUAAAAUUAAGCUUAGGCCAGCAAACUGGAAAAAAGGCAUAUAUGGUUACCGUGUAGAGCAUGUGAGUAAAUACACAUUGUUCAGUUCAUAUUUGAUUCCACAGGUUGCAUGGUGCAUGUUUUUUGCUGUGAGUUUCUUUGUAUGCUAGCGGAGCUCGAGUUCAAUAGUUCUUCACAUUACAUAUUUGUUAUUCACCCCCGUACUGAAUUUCUUUAAAAUACAUUGGUUCCAGUCUUGACUAUGGGCUGUUUUGCCAUGCUUACAUCAGAGCUCAAAAGUAGACGUCAUCAGCAAGUAGGUGAUACAUGUCUAUCUGAUUUAGCAUUUUGGAAUUGCUCACAACAUUUCUUUCGGCAUGUCAAUGAAAAUGGCACCUUCCCGUUCUAAUGUUCAUUAUGUUUCUUGAAGCCCUCACCAUCUUUAUAUUCAUUACACAUUCUCAAAAGCUUAUUUCUUAAUAAUACCUAAAGUGAAUACCAUGAGCUACCUCUCCAGUUUAUUCUUAUUUGAGUAUUAAGAGCACCUACAUUGCUUUGGUUCUGUAUGACUGAUCAAAUUUACACACACCUCAAUCAUAGUAAAAUCUGGAAGACGACGUAAAAGAAUCAAAGAAAAGUAGAGAUGCACAAUAGUUUUAGCUUUUCAGGGAUUGUUCUUGUUGGGUUCAGCUUUCGCCGGCAUGUUGUUAUUACAGAGUUACCGUAUCUCUUUGAAUCGUCAUAUGUACUCCAAACUCUCAUAGAUUAUGCAACUAGCUAAUGGUUGGAACUUUUACUCAGCUUUAUUAUAGGUGGCACAAAGUCAUGUUAGUUGCCAUUUUAUUGCUACAGAUAUGUUCUUGUUCUGAUUGUUUAUGUGAUGAUUAUAUCCAUGUGUAUGUAGCACAACCUCAUGUUUACACGUGGCUUGAAAUCGGCUGUACUUUUUUUGCUUUUGUUACAAGAUAUAUCAUCAAUUUCUUGUCUGGAUGUACUUUUAUUAGUUUGCUUCUAACUGCAUCUUAAUAUGUACUCGGUAGGCUCUACAGGAUUCGAUGAUGGAUGUGUGAAUGUGAGCAAUCAGGAUAUAAAUUUCUUCCAACAGCAAGGCAUGCUGAUUAGAUUCAGGAAUAUGUUCUUGCGUCUCAGCUUUGCAGCUUCACGUUGUAGGACUAAUAUUUGGUACCUGACAUGAGAUUGAGAAAUACCAUGCUUUAAUUAAUUAGUACAUACCUUGUGCAGGGCACAUAAAAUAUAUCUGAUAUCGCUUUUUUGUUAUUUAUAUUUUUAUCUUUUCUACCCUAAUUCAGUAGCACCAUUUCUUGAUGUUAUUUCUCUAUAGGAUUGUUGCUUCCACUAUAGCUUUUCCCCUCUGAAAUGAAUUUGAAUUAGGUCACUUUAGUGUCAAGGUAAAAAUUUCUUUGUUCUCGGGAAGAGCCAAUAUCCUAGGUGAUCGUUAAAUAUUAUUAAUAAUUACCAAUUAAUAAUUAUGUGCUUGAUUGUUUGUUGAUGACCAAUAAUUAUGUAUUUCACUUAUAAGUAACUAUCUAAUUUGCAUGUUCCAUUUUAUUUCAGAUGUAACACAUUCUUUAUAUGUAUUAUGAUGGAUUUUAGAUAUGCUCACUUGAUAUCAUUUUUUCUCUUGACUCUAAAACAGGUAUGUACACGCUAUUUAAGAGGGCCAAGAAGGCGGAAUAGCCUCGCUUAUACAGUUUCUGACUGCUAACAGUGCCAUCAUCAAUGAGCUUCACUCUAAAGUCUGUUCAUGGGAGGGUUGGGCUUCCUUCAAUGCUAGGGAUGAAAUUGGAGAAUAAACAAGGGGUUGACAUGCUUGUGAAGUUCUAUUAGUGCCAUCAUCAAUGAGCUUCACUCUAAAGUCUGUUCAUGGGAGGGUUGGGCUUCCUUCAAUGCUAGGGCUGAAAUUGGAGAAUAAUUAAACAGGGGGUUGACAUGCUUGUGAAGUUCUAUUAGGUUUCAGGUUCCUUUUGUUGUGAGGUGCUCCAUGGCCCUUUGCUUGGAUGCUCUGUGGUGAGGCAACAGAGAUAAUUAGCAGUCUUGUAUACUAACCAAGAGAACAUCCAUUUCAUGAUUUUGGGUAUUGGGUUCUCUUUGCUAAACCAGCUGCAGCUAGAUGAGAGAAGUAGUAAGUAAUAUCAGGUACAUAAUUUCUAUCAGUCUGUGUAUUCUAAUGACUACCGAUAUCCCCUUUCCUGUAGUGUGGCACUGAAUCAAUAGUCAUUUUUGCACAAUCAUGUGUCAUGUUCCUUUAUGAAUCAUAUAAUAUCAAGAGACAACUUAUGGAACUGUUCAGAUUUUUAUGGCAGCCCUAACUUCGCUAGGUAAUAACUUUAUUUGGUCUUUAUCCAACUGGUUUUUAUCAUAUCAAAUUACUGCAGAGCGUACUGAUUUUUUUGUCACCGAGCAACGGUGCCUUUCAGUUCAACUAGCAGUUUAAACCUCCGAAGGUUUAAGGUGAACAAUGAGAUAUUUUUGGGUUUGUUUGAACUGUUGUGUCUGUCCACUUGAGUGCCUCCAUAUGUGGUUCUCCUGUUGCAUUAGUUAUAUUAUUAUUUUUGAUCAUCUUGCCCAAAACUAAAGUUUCACUACAUGAAAAAUGACUACUUUAUUUUAUACCAUGUUAUCCUCUUUCUCUUCCCCACAGGACAGCGUCUCCCUGUGUUCUCGAUCCGGCGCCGCCACAUAUCAUGAUUCUGGAUUGGGCGCAGGUCAUCGCCAUAAGAGAGCCUGGCUGGUGUGGUCUUCAUGCUUGGUGUGGAGAAGCACGGGGGAUGAGUAGGACGGGCAUGGGGAAGGAGCAGCUAGGCCGGAGCUCCGGCGUUGUUCGCGUCAUGGUCGAAUGGAGCCGGCCAUCACUAUGGGCUGCUGCUCGCCGGUCGUCGUUUAUCCAAUCUCAGUUGCUCAUCUUUGGCUUCACCAUCUUCCUCCCCUGAUCAUGCAUCUAUUUUAGAUCAUAUAAUUAUGCUAUAUUAUAUAUGUUGUUUAGUUCAGACUUGUGCAUGUGCAUGCAUUGGCAUUGAUUUAGACAGAGAUAUUGCAUGAUUUGUACAUAGAAGGAGUACAGAUGAUCUAGGAAUAAAUGUUUGAAUAAAGUUAGUAGUGAGAUUUAGAUAGAGGUUACCUGCACUGUUCUGUUUUAUGUAGAUUCUAAGCUGCAAAAUCAUACAUGGUCCUGUUAGUAAUUUGUUUGAGUUGUGAGUUUA